rnacentral:rRNA from 1 species
UACGUAGGGGGCAAGCGUUGUCCGGAAUCAUUGGGCGUAAAGAGCGUGUAGGCGGCCCGAUAAGUCCGCUGUGAAAGUCCAGGGCUCAACCCUGGAAUGCCGGUGGAUACUGUCGGGCUCGAAUCCGGAAGAGGAGAGUGGAAUUCCUGGUGUAGCGGUGGAAUGCGCAGAUAUCAGGAGGAACACCAAUGGCGAAGGCAGCUCUCUGGUACGUGACUGACGCUGAGACACGAAAGCGUGGGGAGCGAACAGG